rnacentral:hammerhead_ribozyme from 1 species
AUCCAGUCGACGAGUCCAAAACAGGACGAAACGCGCGUCCUGGAU